rnacentral:lncRNA from 1 species
CAGGGAUGAUCGAAGGAUUGAAUUGCAUGAAACUUGCCACUGAAGGAUAUAUUUGAUAUUUUUAUCAAAUUUUAUAUCUUCUGGAUAGUCAUGAUAUGCUUCUAGAUAUCAAUCUUAACUUGUAGAUUUUUGAUCAAAUUAAAGAGUUUAAUUCGAUUGCCAAUUAGAAGGGAUUCUAAUUGUGGAGCUCGGAUUAGCUCGAUU